rnacentral:rRNA from 1 species
AUUGAACGCUGGCUGCAGGCCUAACACAUGCAAGUCGAGCGGUAGCACAGAGAGCUUGCUCUCGGGUGACGAGCGGCGGACGGGUGAGUAAUGUCUGGGAAACUGCCUGAUGGAGGGGGAUAACUACUGGAAACGGUAGCUAAUACCGCAUAACGUCGCAAGACCAAAGUGGGGGACCUUCGGGCCUCAUGCCAUCAGAUGUGCCCAGAUGGGAUUAGCUAGUAGGUGGGGUAAUGGCUCACCUAGGCGACGAUCCCUAGCUGGUCUGAGAGGAUGACCAGCCACACUGGAACUGAGACACGGUCCAGACUCCUACGGGAGGCAGCAGUGGGGAAUAUUGCACAAUGGGCGCAAGCCUGAUGCAGCCAUGCCGCGUGUGUGAAGAAGGCCUUCGGGUUGUAAAGCACUUUCAGCGGGGAGGAAGGCGUUAAGGUUAAUAACCUUGGCGAUUGACGUUACCCGCAGAAGAAGCACCGGCUAACUCCGUGCCAGCAGCCGCGGUAAUACGGAGGGUGCAAGCGUUAAUCGGAAUUACUGGGCGUAAAGCGCACGCAGGCGGUCUGUCAAGUCGGAUGUGAAAUCCCCGGGCUCAACCUGGGAACUGCAUUCGAAACUGGCAGGCUAGAGUCUUGUAGAGGGGGGUAGAAUUCCAGGUGUAGCGGUGAAAUGCGUAGAGAUCUGGAGGAAUACCGGUGGCGAAGGCGGCCCCCUGGACAAAGACUGACGCUCAGGUGCGAAAGCGUGGGGAGCAAACAGGAUUAGAUACCCUGGUAGUCCACGCCGUAAACGAUGUCGAUUUGGAGGUUGUGCCCUUGAGGCGUGGCUUCCGGAGCUAACGCGUUAAAUCGACCGCCUGGGGAGUACGGCCGCAAGGUUAAAACUCAAAUGAAUUGACGGGGGCCCGCACAAGCGGUGGAGCAUGUGGUUUAAUUCGAUGCAACGCGAAGAACCUUACCUGGUCUUGACAUCCACAGAACUUUCCAGAGAUGGAUUGGUGCCUUCGGGAACUGUGAGACAGGUGCUGCAUGGCUGUCGUCAGCUCGUGUUGUGAAAUGUUGGGUUAAGUCCCGCAACGAGCGCAACCCUUAUCCUUUGUUGCCAGCGGUUAGGCCGGGAACUCAAAGGAGACUGCCAGUGAUAAACUGGAGGAAGGUGGGGAUGACGUCAAGUCAUCAUGGCCCUUACGACCAGGGCUACACACGUGCUACAAUGGCAUAUACAAAGAGAAGCGACCUCGCGAGAGCAAGCGGACCUCAUAAAGUAUGUCGUAGUCCGGAUUGGAGUCUGCAACUCGGCUCCAUGAAGUCGGAAUCGCUAGUAAUCGUAGAUCAGAAUGCUACGGUGAAUACGUUCCCGGGCCU